rnacentral:rRNA from 1 species
AUUGAACGCUGGCGGCAGGCCUAACACAUGCAAGUCGAACGAGUGGCGGCAGGGUGAGUAAUGUCUGGGAAACUGCCUGAUGGAGUGGGAUAACUAAUGGAGACGGUAGCUAAUACCGCAUACCAUCAGAUGUGUCCCGAGUGGAAUAGCUUGUUGGUGGGGUAACGGCUCAACAAGGCGCCGAUCCCUAGCUGGUCUGAGCGGCUGACCAGCCACACGGGAACGUAGACACGGUCCAGACUCCUACGGGAGGCAGCAGUGGGGAAUAUUGCACAAUUGGCGCAAGCCUGAUGCAGCCAUGCCGCGUGUAUGAAGAAGGCCUUCGGGUUGUAAAGUACUUUCAGCGUGGAGGCGUUACCCGCAGAAGAAGCACCGGCUAACUCCGUGCCAGCCGCCGCGGUAAUUC